UACGAAGGGGGCUAGCGUUGCUCGGAAUCACUGGGCGUAAAGCGCACGUAGGCGGCUCUUUAAGUCAGGGGUGAAAUCCCAAGGCUCAACCUUGGAACUGCCUUUGAUACUGGGGAUCUCGAGUCCGGAAGAGGUUGGUGGAACUCCGAGUGUAGAGGUGAAAUUCGUAGAUAUUCGGAAGAACACCAGUGGCGAAGGCGGCCAACUGGUCCGGCACUGACGCUGAGGUGCGAAAGCGUGGGGAGCAAACAGG
rnacentral:rRNA from 1 species